rnacentral:rRNA from 1 species
GGUUAAGCGACUAAGCGUACACGGUGGAUGCCCUGGCAGUCAGAGGCGAUGAAGGACGUGCUAAUCUGCGAAAAGCGUCGGUAAGGUGAUAUGAACCGUUAUAACCGGCGAUGUCCGAAUGGGGAAACCCAGUGCAAUUCGUUGCACUAUCGUUAACUGAAUACAUAGGUUAACGAGGCGAACCGGGGGAACUGAAACAUCUAAGUACCCCGAGGAAAAGAAAUCAACCGAGAUUCCCCCAGUAGCGGCGAGCGAACGGGGAGCAGCCCAGAGUCUGAAUCAGCUUGUGUGUUAGUGGAACGGUCUGGAAAGUCCGACGGUACAGGGUGAUAGUCCCGUACACCAAAAUGCACAGGUUGUGAACUCGAAGAGUAGGGCGGGACACGUGGUAUCCUGUCUGAAUAUGGGGGGACCAUCCUCCAAGGCUAAAUACUCCUGACUGACCGAUAGUGAACCAGUACCGUGAGGGAAAGGCGAAAAGAACCCCGGCGAGGGGAGUGAAAAAGAACCUGAAACCGUGUACGUACAAGCAGUGGGAGCACCUUCGGGUGUGACUGCGUACCUUUUGUAUAAUGGGUCAGCGACUUAUAUUCUGUAGCAAGGUUAACCGUAUAGGGGAGCCGCAGGGAAACCGAGUCUUAACUGGGCGUUAAGUUGCAGGGUAUAGACCCGAAACCCGGUGAUCUAGCCAUGGGCAGGUUGAAGGUUGGGUAACACUAACUGGAGGACCGAACCGACUAAUGUUGAAAAAUUAGCGGAUGACUUGUGGCUGGGGGUGAAAGGCCAAUCAAACCGGGAGAUAGCUGGUUCUCCCCGAAAGCUAUUUAGGUAGCGCCUCGUGAAUUCAUCUUCGGGGGUAGAGCACUGUUUCGGCUAGGGGGUCAUCCCGACUUACCAACCCGAUGCAAACUACGAAUACCGAAGAAUGUUAUCACGGGAGACACACGGCGGGUGCUAACGUCCGUCGUGAAGAGGGAAACAACCCAGACCGCCAGCUAAGGUCCCAAAGUCAUGGUUAAGUGGGAAACGAUGUGGGAAGGCACAGACAGCCAGGAUGUUGGCUUAGAAGCAGCCAUCAUUUAAAGAAAGCGUAAUAGCUCACUGGUCGAGUCGGCCUGCGCGGAAGAUGUAACGGGGCUAAACCAUGCACCGAAGCUGCGGCAGCGACACUAUGUGUUGUUGGGUAGGGGAGCGUUCUGUAAGCCUGCGAAGGUGUGCUGUGAGGCAUGCUGGAGGUAUCAGAAGUGCGAAUGCUGACAUAAGUAACGAUAAAGCGGGUGAAAAGCCCGCUCGCCGGAAGACCAAGGGUUCCUGUCCAACGUUAAUCGGGGCAGGGUGAGUCGACCCCUAAGGCGAGGCCGAAAGGCGUAGUCGAUGGGAAACAGGUUAAUAUUCCUGUACUUGGUGUUACUGCGAAGGGGGGACGGAGAAGGCUAUGUUAGCCGGGCGACGGUUGUCCCGGUUUAAGCAUGUAGGCUGGUUGUCCAGGCAAAUCCGGAUAAUCAAGGCUGAGGUGUGAUGACGAGGCACUACGGUGCUGAAGUAACAAAUGCCCUGCUUCCAGGAAAAGCCUCUAAGCAUCAGGUAACAUUAAAUCGUACCCCAAACCGACACAGGUGGUCAGGUAGAGAAUACCAAGGCGCUUGAGAGAACUCGGGUGAAGGAACUAGGCAAAAUGGUGCCGUAACUUCGGGAGAAGGCACGCUGGUGUGUAGGUGAAGUCCCUGCGGAUGGAGCUGAGACCAGUCGAAGAUACCAGCUGGCUGCAACUGUUUAUUAAAAACACAGCACUGUGCAAACACGAAAGUGGACGUAUACGGUGUGACGCCUGCCCGGUGCCGGAAGGUUAAUUGAUGGGGUUAUCCGUAAGGAGAAGCUCUUGAUCGAAGCCCCGGUAAACGGCGGCCGUAACUAUAACGGUCCUAAGGUAGCGAAAUUCCUUGUCGGGUAAGUUCCGACCUGCACGAAUGGCGUAAUGAUGGCCAGGCUGUCUCCACCCGAGACUCAGUGAAAUUGAACUCGCUGUGAAGAUGCAGUGUACCCGCGGCAAGACGGAAAGACCCCGUGAACCUUUACUAUAGCUUGACACUGAACAUUGAGCCUUGAUGUGUAGGAUAGGUGGGAGGCUUUGAAGCGUGGACGCCAGUCUGCGUGGAGCCAACCUUGAAAUACCACCCUUUAAUGUUU